rnacentral:tRNA from 1 species
GGUAAUGUCAGCUAAUAUAAAGCUAUUAGGCCCAUACCCUGCACAUGAUGGCGAGACUCCGUCCACUACCA